GACGAACGCUGGCGGCGUGCUUAACACAUGCAAGUCGAACGGAAAGGCCCUGCUUUUGUGGGGUGCUCGAGUGGCGAACGGGUGAGUAACACGUUAGUAACCUGCCCUUGACUUUGGGAUAACUUCAGGAAACUGGGGCUAAUACCGGAUAGGAGCUCCUGCUGCAUGGUGGGGGUUGGAAAGUUUCGGCGGUUGGGGAUGGACUCGCGGCUUAUCAGCUUGUUGGUGGGGUAGUGGCUUACCAAGGCUUUGACGGGUAGCCGGCCUGAGAGGGUGACCGGCCACAUUGGGACUGAGAUACGGCCCAGACUACUACGGGAGGCAGCAGUGGGGAAUAUUGCACAAUGGGCGGAAGCCUGAUGCAGCAACGCCGCGUGCGGGAUGACGGCCUUCGGGUUGUAAACCGCUUUCGCCUGUGACGAAGCGUGAGUGACGGUAAUGGGUAAAGAAGCACCGGCUAACUACGUG
rnacentral:rRNA from 1 species